GAAUUAACCGACUUGCAGAGGGAUCCUCCUGCCCAGUGUUCUGCAGGACCUGUCGGUGAUGACUGUUGCUUUCACAACCAAAAUUUAUCACCCUAAUAUCAACAGCAAUGGCAGCAUCUGCCUUGAUAUCCUGCGGUCUCAGUGGUCUCCAGCGUUGACUGUGUCAAAAGGUACAACAGACUAGCAAGAGAGUGGACACAAAAAUAUGCUAUGUAAGUGCCUUGGAGGUUUUACAUGAGACACUGUCCAAGAGAAGCUGGCAGAGAGGUCUUCCCUUAAAACUUUGGGCUGUUGGCUGAGCCAUUCAAAGAGCAUCAUCUGUUCUUCAAACAAAUGUUGGUCACCCACUCUCUCCAGCUGCAGCAUGUUGGUGCCAUUUUCAGCAAUUACGGCUUUGACAGUGCCACCUCUUUGAUGCCAAAUCAGCAACCAUUGUUGUUAUGAUCUGCAGUCUUCCUGGUGACACUGGAAUCUCUCU
rnacentral:lncRNA from 1 species